GCCCGGCUGGCCCAACUGGCAGAGGCGGCGCGUUCAGGACGCGCAGGGUGGGGGUUCGAAUCCCUCGCCGGGCA
rnacentral:tRNA from 1 species